rnacentral:lncRNA from 1 species
AAUUCUGUUUAAUCAUUUUUUUAUCCAGUUGCCUCUGAUUUGUGGAACAUACUAUUUUACAGAGUUUUUCAAUAUUCCUUAUGAUUGGGAAAGAAUGCCAAGAUGGUAUGUCAGUGAUCAUUUGACAUUCAUAUUCAUUCAUGGCUUAUGCUUUAAUUACAUUUUGCUUAAUGUUUAUCCUCUCCAUUUGGGUAAUACCCUGAAAUUUAUUAUGUCCUGAUAUAACUGAAUAUACAUGUACCAGAACCUAGGAGCGCUGUUUGGAAUGAAUCUUUUAAACAGGAUGUGGUAGCACACACCUGUGGUCCCCUCACUCGGGAGGUGAAUGAAGGUGGGUAGACCUGAAGCUGCAGACUCCUCCUGGGCUACACAGCUCGUCCAUAGCCUGCCUCAGAUAUAAUGAGGUCUUGUCUC